rnacentral:rRNA from 1 species
UACGUAGGGGGCAAGCGUUGUCCGGAAUUAUUGGGCGUAAAGAGCUCGUAGGCGGUUUGUCGCGUCGGCUGUGAAAACCUGGGGCUCAACCCCGGGCCUGCAGCCGAUACGGGCAAGCUAGGGUUCGGUAGGGGAGACUGGAAUUCCUGGUGUAGCGGUGAAAUGCGCAGAUAUCAGGAGGAACACCGGUGGCGAAGGCGGGUCUCUGGGCCGAUACUGACGCUGAGGAGCGAAAGCGUGGGGAGCGAACAGG